UGCUUAAUAACUUUGAGAUGAUAGAAGGCCAUCUUUGCUAGCCUAUAUAACCCAUACUUGUCCUUUUACUAUAUAUGAUCCUAGUUCGCCCCCUUUGAGCCUUAUUUUCUAUUUUAUUUGGUUUAGCUGUGGGUGGGAGCUUGGAGAUUGUUGUUAUGGGGUAGUUGGUUUGUGGAGAUGCGUGAUAAUGGUUUAUGAACUUUGAUCUUGAUUGAAAAUAAUCCUAGUACCCUACAAGUCGUUGGAAAAAAAAAGAAAAAAAAGAAAAGAAAAAAAAAGAAAAGUGAGAAAAGUGGAAAAAAUGGGUACAUAGGAUACAUUAGAAAGACAUAAUAUCAUGAGAAAUAAUUGUUGUGUUGUGGUGGAGUAUAUUUUGAAAAAUUUGGUUUUGUGGAAGGUGGAGGAUAGAAUUGAGUAAGAAUGUUAUAAGGUUGGUGAUGAUGUUACUUUGAUUCGCAUCUUUUAGUCACUUAGCCAAAUAUAUCCUACCUUACCAAAGAACCUACAUUACAACCCUCAAUAAAGACCUUUUUGAUCUUGGGUAUAGAAGCACACGUGUAGUGGUGGAGAGGUGAGACGAUCGACAAGCCUAUG
rnacentral:lncRNA from 1 species